GAUGAACGCUGGCGGCGUGCCUAAUACAUGCAAGUCGAGCGAACGGACGAGAAGCUUGCUUCUCUGAUGUUAGCGGCGGACGGGUGAGUAACACGUGGAUAACCUACCUAUAAGACUGGGAUAACUUCGGGAAACCGGAGCUAAUACCGGAUAAUAUUUUGAACCGCAUGGUUCAAAAGUGAAAGACGGUCUUGCUGUCACUUAUAGAUGGAUCCGCGCUGCAUUAGCUAGUUGGUAAGGUAACGGCUUACCAAGGCAACGAUGCAUAGCCGACCUGAGAGGGUGAUCGGCCACACUGGAACUGAGACACGGUCCAGACUCCUACGGGAGGCAGCAGUAGGGAAUCUUCCGCGAUGGGCGAAAGCCUGACGGAGCAACGCCGCGUGAGUGAUGAAGGUUUUCGGAUCGUAAAACUCUGUUAUUAGGGAAGAACAUAUGUGUAAGUAACUGUGCACAUCUUGACGGUACCUAAUCAGAAAGCCACGGCUAACUACGUG
rnacentral:rRNA from 1 species